GUAUUGUUGUCUGGUCCUCAACUUCUCCACUUGUCUCAUCAACACUUUUAUCUUGCAAGUCUUCCUCAUCACUACUAUCUGAGUUUCCCUCUGUACACAUUGCAAUAGGAGUCCAUUCCUCAUCAUCAUCAUCUUCCCCUAACUGCUCCAGGUCAUUUGAAUCGCCAUCUAAAAUCAUCUUCAGGGCAUCUUCAACACUGUUUUUGAAUUGCUCAUAACAGAGUUCUAAAUUGCCUCAAGAAGCAACAUCAGGGGCCUUAUGAAAUCGGUUUUCAUGGCCGAUGGCACAAUGCCAAGCUUUGGCUGGACGCUGGACACUGGACAGUGGAGUAGUGGAAACUGGCAGACUAAUGGACAAAUCUGGGUUUGGCAGAUGCCAGGAGAAUGCUACCCACCAAAAUGCAUAAUGCCCAGUUAGGUGAUGGAGAUAAAAUAGUGUGUGGCUGUUUUGGGCUUGGCUUAUUAGUUCCAACAGAGCAACACCACCUUCAGAAGAAAGCAGCAAGUCAGACACCCAGGAAGAUGUUGAAGAUCACGAUUUCUCUUCAUGUGCAGAUGAGGAGCGGAAGCCAUACUACCCUAACCAAAAAGACCUCAACGAUCUGAUCAGAGACCUUGGUCUCACUAAGUCCAACGCUGAGCUUCUGACAUCAAGGCUCAAGCAAUGGAACUUAUUAGAUGAAAGCAUCCAAGUCACAAUGCCUAUAGUGUUCUUAGUCUGACUGUAUAAAUGAGAAGAUGCAAAAUCGUCUGUUUCUAUAAUAAAAAUUCAUAAUUUUCGUUGCCGUGGUCACAAAAGCGAAGUUUAUGAUGAACGUAAGCAAUUUUUAAUUUGUUUUAGACAUAAACAAUUGGAAUAUAACAUUAAAAAGCUGUGAACAAAACUUGUGUUACAUAGUGUUAUCAACCAGACAAUAAACUUAUGUGUGACUCAAAACUCAAAGUGAAACAGUUGUGCAGUUGCUUUUAGGUGCAAGUUUGGGCGUGCCAGAAAGGACUGCUUUCACAGUUAAACCACUUCCCGUUUCAUUUGGAUAAAAACAAGUUCUUGUUUCUUGUUCAGUGUAGGCUGAGAAAAGUAGGAUGACAACUUUUCAAAACCCAUAUACAAAACCCUUGGAUCAGGCCUCUGGGACAACAAUCGCAAGACAAAUACAGCACGAGCUGACGUCCUACACAUACAAACAAAUUUAUUCAUCAGCAGUUUCAGUGUUUAGUACAACCCCAUUUUUUUACAACCCCAACUUCUGAAAGAGUCAGUCUCUCUGAGAUACUCUUUUUAUACCAGUCAUGUUACUGACCUGUUGCUAAUUAACCACCAUUUUUUAGCAUUGCACAACGUUACCAGUCUUUUGUUGUCCCUGUCUUAACUUUUUAAACACAUGUAGCUGGCAUCACAUUUAAAUUGGACAUUUACUACGAUAUAAUAAUUCAAUUUCCCAAUUUCAGUGUUUAAUAUGUCUUUGUAUUUUUUUCAGUAAAUAGAGGGUUGAAAAGAUUUGCACAUCAUUGUGUUCUGUUUUUAUUUAAACAAACAAGAAAAACACAUUCAUCUACCUUUAAACUAACAGAACAACAACAAUAACAACGUUAAAUAAUGCUGUUUAGAAGGACAUGUCUUUAUGAUGAUCCUUCACCCAUGGCUGCUUGUAAAGCCAUGACUCCCAAGCUCCUCAAAGAAAGUGGCAGUCAUUAGCAAGUCGCUACAAUGUUUAGUAGUAUUUAGUUUGAUAACGGCCAUGAAUUUUGGAACUUGUGUUUGGACAUUUGUAUUUAGUUUUUUUGUUGUAAUUUUCAUUAAUUUUCACAUGUUUUUCAUUGUAUAGAAAUAGCCUACUGCAUUAAAAAGCAGAAGUGAUUUUGCAUUUAUAAUGUAAGCAAUGCUAUGCUAAGGUCAUAAACAAAUGCAUGAUUCAUGACUUGUUGUAAAUGAUAUGUAAAUAAAUACUUAAAAAAGAAAUAUUGCCUGUGUGGGGUGUAGUGGAUGCUCAUGUGACCUUCUAAUUUCUCCCAUAAUCCAAACUUAAACAGUAGUAUAAGAGCAAGCAUUUACAAGUGCAAGUAAAACUAUAAAAACAUUAGAUGUAUUUUUUCACAUUUAAUUCAGG
ensembl:lncRNA